rnacentral:rRNA from 1 species
CAACUCGACUACAUGAAGCUGGAAUCGCUAGUAAUCGCGAAUCAGAAUGUCGCGGUGAAUACGUUCCCGGGUCUUGUACACACCGCCCGUCACACCAUGGGAGUCGGAAAUGCCCGAAGUCAGUGACCUAACCGAAAGGGAGGAGCUGCCGAAGGUGGAGCCGGUAACUGGGGUNAAGUCGUAACAAGGUAUC